UCUUACCUACGGGACGCAGCAGUGAGGAAUAUUGGUCAAUGGGCGGGAGCCUGAACCAGCCAAGUCGCGUGAGGGAAGACGGUCCUGCGGAUUGUAAACCUCUUUUGCCGGGGAGCAACGGGGUCCUUGCGAGGUCCCAAUGAGAGUACCCGGAGAAAAAGCAUCGGCUAACUCCGUGCCAGCAGCCGCGGUAAUACGGAGGAUGCGAGCGUUAUCCGGAUUUAUUGGGUUUAAAGGGAGCGGAGGCGGGCUGUUAAGUCAGCGGUCAAAUGUCGGGGCUCAACCCCGGCCUGCCGUUGAAACUG
rnacentral:rRNA from 1 species